UCCAACCACGUCCAGGGAGUUUCUCCAGCCUCAAGCUGACAAGGCUUCUGGGUUUCCAUGGGUGAGGAGGAUGAUGGUGUUGGCCAAGGCCAGGUGGGCGAGGAUCAGUUCGGAGGAGCUGGGCUUGGGGCUGGCGGAGAUGACACUUGCAUAGAACAGGAGGAGGAAGACGUUUGCUACAGAUCCGAUGCUGAUCUGCAACAGAAUCGCGGUGCCAAAGGAGAGCUCCGUGCCAUCCAUCCUCUCCAAACCUCAGUUAGAAGCAGAAGAGGGCUCCAGCAGGGUGACCUAGGAUGGGGAAUCAGAGAGAGAGAGAAUAUGAGAAGACAGAGAGAACACUCCGAGCAUCCUCAGUCCCCAGAGCCCGGGCCUGCCUUGGGGACGUGGAGCCUCAGAAAAGGUUCUCCAACAUUAAGAUGGUGCUACCAAAAUCGGGUUGCCUGGUCACCCUAUCACAGUCGCACCCAGAAGAAAAGCAGCUGA
rnacentral:lncRNA from 1 species